GACGAACGCUGGCGGCGUGCUUAACACAUGCAAGUCGAACGGAAUGGCGAACGGGCGAGUAACACGUGGGUGACCUGCCCUGCACUUCGGGAUAAGCAUGGGAAACUGGGUCUAAUACCGGAUAGUGUGGGAUGGGCGCGCGGCCUAUCAGCUUGUUGGUGGGGUAAUGGCCUACCAAGGCGGCGAGGGGUAGCCGGCCUGCGAGGGUGGACGGCCACAUUGAGACUGAGACACGGCCCAGUGGACUACGUGAGGCAGCAGGGGGGAAUAUUGCGCAAUGGGCGGAAGCCUGAUGCGACGGCGCCGGGUGUGUGAUGACUGCCUACGGAGUGUAAACGCCGUUCACCAUCGACGCGGUGGAUGGAGAAGAAGCACCGGCUAACUACGUGCCAGCAGCCGCGGUAAUAC
rnacentral:rRNA from 1 species